UUUGGCAUUUACAAUGGAAGAGAUACUAUGAAACAUGCCCAAGUUAGAAUUUUUAGCCAAAUAUACGUUGCAGAGGAUUUGCGCAGUUUUGCUUGUGCAAUGUACAUCUCUACAGGGAAAUACACUGUCAAUGGCCAGAACGAAGCAGCACCUAUCAGACCCACAAAAUCGUUGAAGAAGGGUAAGAUCAUUGCAAUGACAGCCGUGAUGAAUCCCUUUGCUGCUUUGCAUAUUAAUCAACAAUAAUCUUAUUAUCAUCAUCAGAUUCUAAUCUUCAAACUUCCCAGGUCUUUUCUCUCUCUCUCUCUCUCUGAUUCUGUUUUCAUUUGGUAGAUCUGUUCAAAAAGUUAGAUCCUCCCAUUUAAGUUAUUUCAUUGGAUUUUGAAUAAAAGGAUCAUAAUAUAAUUAGUUUAAUACAUAUCUAAUCUAACAUAAUAAAACUUUAUUUUUUUAUUUUUAUUUUUUUUAAAUUUUAUUCAGAGAUAUAACAGAGAUAGGUAGGUAGGAAAUCAAAACAAUUGCAUAUCUUAACAGUUAAAAAUUUCUGAGAUCUAAAUAUGAAAUUAAAAAAAAAAUUCAAAAGUAUCUUAUCAAUAUAAAAAUCUGAUUAAUAAAAAUAGAGUGAUAAAUAUAAAUAAAAUUGUGAAACGACAUUAUAGUAGCAAAGCUUGUUUCUUAGGUGCAUUCCAUUCUCCCCUUUACUCGGAAUCCUACAUAUAAAAAUGAAGGGAAAUUAGUAAUGUAAAAUUUAAUUUAUGAUUUAUAAUUUUGUUUAUUGUUUUUCUUUGUCUGAAUAUUCUUACCUCUGGUUCUUGCUUAAUGCAUAUCUUCUUAGUAUAAUCUUUCUGUGGAAGUUUGUCAAAGUCGACUAUUUCUUCUCGAGAAUGUUUCUUAGGUGUUGCUGGGACAAAGUUUUCCUGCAAUAUAUUAAAUAAUAAAAAAAAAUUAAUUUCAUAGUUUGAUCUUAUUGACUAUAUAUAUAUUUUUGAUUUUUUGUGGGGGUGGGUUGAGGUCUUACCUUUUGUAUGUUGUCUUUUGUUGUACCUUCUUUUACUUGCCCUUCGAAUGUGAUGUCUGUGCAUGUAAGAUAUCCUUUUGGAAAUUGCCUAUUCUUUUCAGUUAUCUUUAUGUCAAAAAUUGCUUCGGUAUUCUCAAUUGCUUGAAUGUAGUUUCUCAUGAUGUCCUCUCCCUUUUCUUUCAUACUUAGCAAUGCAGCUACUGUAUUAUCCUUCAUUAGUUUUUUCGCUUUUUCACCAAAAACUGUAAUUUUUGCAUUUCCUGUUCCAUCCGAUAUUUCCAUUUGUAUCUUAUACCUAUUUUUUUAUAUAUAUAUUUUUUGACAAUGAAACAUUUAGCACACAUAAGAUUGCAUGUUUAGAUGAUAUAUGUCAUUGCGUUCAGUAAAAAAGGGUUUUAUACUUACUGUAGCAUUGUAUUUGAUUCUUCAAUUAUUCCACAAUAGCAUUGAUAUGCUUCGAGAACUUCUUCUGCCUUUGUCUUGCAAGUUUUGCAAGCCAAGUAGUACCAUUCUGGCGAUGCAUUAACUUUAACUAUUUUUGCUGAACAUGUGAUGUAGUCCUGUAUAUUUUUUUUUUUUAUGAAAACAGAUUUUUGUGCAUAUUUUAGUUAUGAAAUUUGAAUAAGAAUUGAAGGGAAGUAAAUGUACCUCAUGAGUUUCUCGGUUGAUAGAUUUUUGCACAUCCAGUAGGUUGCCUUUUUUGAAUCUUGAAAAAUCUCCUAUCUUCAGAGUGAUGUUCACUUGGCUGAUCAAUGUAAAACACAUCAUAAAGGAGCUGAUUAUAAUUGGUUAUAAGUAGUAAAUCAUUUUAUUAAGUUGAGUAUGUAAAUAUUUGUGAGAUAGUUUUACCUGUUCUUCAUUUGUAUAACUUCUGGAAUAUCUGGAUUUAAAUAUAGCAUAGUUCCGGUUGUAGUGGACAACUGUGCUCCUGUUUUAUAGAAUAUGAAAUAAUUUUUAUUUGUAUAGGAUAACAAAAUCAUUAUUAUAUAUAUAGCAUUUUCACGUAUUUAAAAAGUUAAGGUAAUUACCCUGAAAUUUACGAACUUUUGCUAGUGAUAUCACUACUACUGGUUUUUCAUUCACCAUAGUCUUCAGUUUUUCAGUGUCAAAGAUAUCUUUCAUUUCUCCCCACAAUGUUACCUUCAAUUUCUCUUCCCUGAAUUUCCAAUUGAAGUAAACCAAAAACAUAUAAGUUAUUAGUUAAAAAACAAUAAUUUAAUGACUUUUCGAUUGCGUUACCUGUCAUUGAUAAUUGUAAUUUCUCUAAUUUUUGAUGGAUUUUCUCCACUACUGUCUUUCACGUUAGGCCAUUCAGUAAGAAGCCCUAUUACAUCUGCAUAAAAUAAUAUAAGCAUAUUAAUUCUUAAAUCACAUAAUAUUAAAAUCUUUGAUUGAAGAAAUUAAUGUUACCUCGUAAGAUGUUGGUGUUCACUGAAUGAAGUUCUUUGAAUGUUAUGAAAUUGAAUCUUUUUCUUGGAAAGUUUUCUAUUCCGUGCAAAAGAACUUCGAAAGAGUCUUUAUUUGGGAAGGCAAUGUAGGCUGAGUCCAAAGGUUUUACUGUUGCAUAUGACUUUCUUGCUUGAAAAUUUGUAAUGUAGUAGAUCUCAUUUUCCUUGAGUUUUUUAAGCAAUUGAGAGAACGUAUGUAAUUCUUUUGUCUUCAUAUGCAGCUUAUCUCCCUGAUAGUAAAUAAUGAUUAGGUAUUUGUUUAGGUGAGGUGAAUAUAUGUAAAAAAAAGAAAAAAAUGAAAAAAAUAGAUCAUACCUUUUCGUCCAUUACAAUGAUAUCUAGUGCGACAACUUUCUUUACAAUUUUUUCUACUUUUUUUUCUUCUUCAAAAGUUGGCCACAUACGUAUGACCAUACCUUUUAGCUUCCAUGACCUUUUGUUUUCAUCAAUCUCACUGAUUGUGUUGUAUUUAUCCAUAGCCAUUCGCUAUUUUCAUAUAGCAAUCAUAUAUAUUAGUACAGAAUGAAAAAGAAAAAAAAAAGUGAAUGAUAUCACACAAACAAAUAGUAUGUUAUUAGAAAAGAGGAAGAAUUGAGUUAUGUAGAAUAAAGCUAUUAUCCAAUAUUGUAUGUUCUCUAACCAUAUGAGAUUCAGAUCCUUCUGCAGGGGAUGCUUUACACAAUACAAUUCUUGCCGAAAAAUAGGGAAGUGUUCGGCCUUUUGAAUCAGUUUUGCUAAUUCUGUUCUUUUCGUUAUGUUGCAUGUUGAGUAUUCAUCGACAUUAAGAGGGAUAUUAAAUCUGGAGUGCGCUGUCCUACCUCCAGGAAGAAGAAGGGAUGCAAUUCCUGAAGAAGCAACUGCUAGUACUAUUUUUCCUUUAGAUCUUAAUUUGGCCAUUAUUGUUCUCCAAAGGAAAGUCUUCCCUGUGCCUCCACUGUCGUAAACAAAAUAGAAACCACCUGUAUGCAAUUUAGUAAAAGUAAGUCAGCAUACCAUCGUAAGUCCAAAUUUUAAUUCUGACUUAUUUAGUAAACUCAUUUAGGUUUGAUUAGUUUAUAGACUUUCAUCAUUGGGAGAAUGUAAGGUAUUUUUUUUAUAUAUAUAACCUUUAAUAAAUUGUCAUUUAUAGUAUAGCAUAUUAUAAUUCACAUACCUGUUUUGUUUUCGACGACUUCAAUGAUAGAAUUGAAGACGGUUUUUUGAUCUUCAUUUAGUUCUUUAUGUGAAGUAUUGAAUUCCUUUUCCAAAUCUGCUCUAUUGUAAUCUAGCUCUUCAUUGAUCAUGUUGUUUUGCCUUAAUCUGUGGGUUGACAUAUCUGGUUGUGGAAGGCCAUAAUCUUUGAGGGACUUGUAUCGCUGAUUCAGAAUUAUUUCUAUUUCACAUAGUGCAUAGUUCUUAAUCUGUUCUUCUGUGAGGGUGAGCGAUUGAUUUUUUAGCCUCUUCCUUUCAUUGUACUCUGCAUCAUCGCUUAACACUUUCCAAUUGUUUUUCCAUAUAUUGAUUGGUCUUGUUACUUCUGAAAAUAAUAAAAUGGUUGCGAACAAAUCUCUAAGCUGACUUGGAAGGUUGAAAUGUGAUGCUUCUACUAUUGCUUCGUUCCAUUCACCAUCAUCUUCUAAUAGACCUCUAGCAUAACAGGCUUCUUUAUAAGUAUCAUACUGAACUCCAUUGUAGAAUUUAAUUUCUUUAUGUGUAGUUGGUCCUUUUACAUGAUUAAGGAGAAGACGUAGAUAGAAACGUUCACCUGACGAUGGGUGAGCAUAGUAGAUUCGGCCAAUUGCUAUUCCUUUCUCCCUCCGCUUCCAUUUGUUUUUAGCUCUAUUCCAAACCCAUUUUGUAGGGAAUUCUGCAUAUGUUAACUCCCUUGCAUCUUCAUGUUUUUUGUUUGUUUCCAUCCACUUUAAGAAUUUUGUUUCUUUCACUCCUUCUUUAUUCACCACAUCAUUGGGAUCGUCAGUAUCCUGGAAAAUUAUAGGUUGUUCAUCUUUUAAAUGGAAUGGAAACCUUUCAACUGAUGGAUUUCUAUAAUGGGUUUCAAAUUCAAAAAUUCUCCAACUUGCUUCAGAAGCAGAAAUGUAUCGACAAUCCAAAUAAUUUUUUAUUUCAUCAACUUGAUGCACCUCUUGUGUAUCUUGUGAUUCAUUUGAGACUGCAUUUUCUUCAAUCACAAUGGUAGAUUUGUCAUGGCCUUUGUGUACAUAUUUGAAUAGAUACUUUACUGAUCUGCCUUGGUUGCAAUAUUCGACAUUUAUAUGUGCUUGAUAUUUAACUAUCAAGUCAACAUUGUGGGGUACUACCCAUGUAUUGUCAACUUGUACACCAUUUUUGAAGGCAACUUUUCCAUCUUUUCUUCGCCUAUAUACUGCAAAUCCAUCUCUGUCCACAUUUGUCUCGUUGCUGGGUUUUUUCGGAUAGUGCUUUGAACAUUUUCCAUCUUGCAGGCAAGGCCCACACGGUCCAUGUAUCAUGAAUUGAACUACAGAAUCAAAUGCCAAUUUGUCAUUAGGGUCCGGGAGUUUAGCUGAAAUUAUGCGAUCAAUAUCUGCAGAUGAUUUUGGCUUGUCUUGUGGGUGCAACCAAAGCAAGAUAUGUGCGUGGGGUAAUCCUCUUUUCUGGAACUCGAUUGUGUACACAGCUGCACAAUUGUUAUGAAUUAAUUAUUAUACAUAGUGAUUGAUUAAAAGAUAGCUAAUUAACAAAAUAAACCAACUUACCAGCUUUCACUCUUCCAAAGUAAUGAUUCUCACAGAAAUCAUCCAUUAGUUGUUCAAGCUUGAUCUUGAACACCCUUGAGACUAUGUCAGGUCUGUCAUCUGGCUUUUGGCCUGGGAUUACCUCUAGGUAUUUUUCAAUUUCUGGCCACUUUGAAUUGCAAGUAAAUGUUAUGAAUAAGUCUGGAGAUCCUGCCCACCGACAAAUAGCUAUUGCAUCCUGGUAAUUUUGUACCAUAUACCUUGGGCCACCUGUGAAACUUGAGGGAAGAACUAAUCUUCUUCAUAUUGAGGCUGGGGAUGUGUCUCCUGCUACAAUGGCAUCUUUUAAACCUUGGUACAACUCAGCUCGCAGUUUCUUUUGAUUUUUUCUGAUGUAUGAUAACCUGCAGUAUGAGUUUCAAAAACAAAUUAAAUUUUUGUUCGAAAAGUAAUUACACUAAACUAAAUUGUUUUUUCUUUUUUUUUUAAGAUAUAUGGUAACCUGUGUUCUUCAAUACAGGCGUAUGCAUCAACUAUAUAUUGCUGUAAAAGACGGCCAGCUUUAAGCAGAGUAUGAGCUUCUCCAAUUCUAUGCUGAAGUCUAAAGGCGUAGUACUGCCGCAUGCUUAUAGUGUUUUUUGAGGUAGGUGUUACAUCUUCUGGAAUAUGUGCAUAUAAAGUAUAUAGUCUAAACCCAUCUUCACCAUAUGGAAACAACAAUGGAUAUUGCAAAGCCAUAUAACUUGGCUGCAAUUCAUUUCUUCUUUUGAGUUGUCCUGAUUUUGUUUCCAACACUAUAUCUCUGUUGUCAUUCGUGCCAAACUCAUCUCCUACGACCAAAGCUGCUACUUCUGAAACAGUUGGUAGGUUAUAUUGUCUCGCAUCUUUCUGUCGAGUACCAAUUAACUUAAUGCGCACUGUAGGUACUUCAACACUUGGAUUUCUUUCUCGGGCCAUUCUAAACACCUUUGCCAAUGGAUUGUUUUUAUCAAACAAUUUGAUCAAACCUUUGACAAUGUCUUCUUCCAAAUUGGCACCUUGUUCAGAUCUUCGCAUAGCAUGUAUACGUUCAUUUGCUUCAUAUUGAGGAUCACAUAUAUAAAGUUGGGCAAAACGUGGUCUUCGUCCUCCAUCUGGUAGCAAUGAUCCAAUCCUAUGAUGAUUUUGGCCAUUUAUUUUGUAAACAUACGGGGCACGCCCAUCAUUAACUGAGUUGUCUAUUUUUCCUCCCAUUGAGGUGAAUGCAAACAUAAAGUUGUAAGCUCGUAUAUUAUCUCUGAAUUGUCGAGACCUUGAACCACCUUUGUAAUCCAUUAGUUGUUUUAGAAAAUUUGGGGGUUCCUUCAAAAGAGGGAGCAUAACCUUUCCUCCGUAACAACAAAUAGAAAAUUGUGGAUUUUUAAGUCUGGUACGUUUUCUGUUUCUUUCUUGAAACCAAACUAUAGCUUUACAAAAUGGACAUUCAUGUGUAGGCCCACCCAGGUUCGACACUUCCCAAUAUUUUCCUGCUUGAUAAAUUAUAAGAAGAGUUAGUUUUCAUCAAUUCUUGCAAUUGACAUACAAAAUUUAACGCUAAGAAAGUGUGAUUAGAUUUACUUGUAAUGGUGAUUUCUGUACUGUUUCUAUUCUCACUAUCAUAAUCCAAGGAAUCAUCAUUAUCAUCAUCUGUAUGGCAAUCGAAGUUAGUGCAAUCAUCAUUAUCAUUAUCUGUAGUGCACUUUGGUUAUAAGUGUAUAUAAUAAUUAAUAGUUAAAUCAUACCACUGGAAAUUGAGUAUCCAAAAUCUCCAGCAUACGUUGUGUCAUUGAAAUUUGCAUCAACAUUUGUAGAUAUUAUGGCUUUUGGCCUUGGUAAAUUUUUUUUUCUUGUAUUAUAUAAAAUUUGCAAUAUAUACCUGUUUCAAUAGGUGUGACAAUUCUCUCUACAAAAUCUGCAUAGUCACCAUAAGUUGCUUUACAAUACGUUGUGGUUGAGGUGGUCACAGUUCCAUCUUCAUACAGUAAACAGAUAACAUAUUAGCGAUGUGUUCAUUAUAAAUAUAUGAAUAAACAUUGAAAUUCUGACAUUUUUUUGAUGUGUUCUUAUCCGAGUUUUUUUGUGACUUUCUAGGUAAACCUGACAAUGGCAAAAUGAAGUUAGAAUAAUGCCUCGGUUAUAUUCUUAGGAGAAGUAUGUACAUCUCUAUUUUUUUUACAAACCUGUUGGCGUUGGCAUUGAGUAUUGUAUACUAAUUGGUACAUCGACCAUUUCUGUUUCUUCCAAUAGUCCGGAUCGCAUUUUCUUUGCUCUGACUUUUUGCAGAAUUUCCUUUCUUCAUUUUCGUUUUUUUCUAGCCUCAGUUGCUUUAUCGACCACUUCUGUUGCUUCCAUUGAGUACUGUAUAGCAAUUGGUACAUCGACCAUUUCUGUUUCUUUCAAUAGUCCGGAUCGCAUUUUCUUUGCUCCGACUUUUUGCAGAAUUUCCUUUCUUCGUUUUCGUUUUUUUCUAGCCUCAUCCAUCCUGUAUUGUGAAUAUAGAUUGUAAGGCGUGCAUAUUCAGACAUCUCAUUGUGGUUGUAUGCAGGUGUUAUAUGAAGGGUUACACAGGCGCGGAUACAGGAGGGUUGGAUAUAUAGGAUACAGGAUACAGGAGGGUUGGAUAUACAGGAGGGUUGUCUGCUGAAGGGUGCAGUCUCUAAACUGUAUGCUGAUGCAUGUAUACUUUUGAUUUGAGAAGGAUAUAUGUUGUGAAUAUAGAUUGUAAGGCGCGCAUAUUCAGACAUCUCAUUGUGGUUGUAUGCAGGCGUUAUAUGAAGGGUUACACAGGCGCGGAUACAUGAGGGUUGGAUAUACAGGAGGGUUGUCUGCUGAAGGGUGCAGUCUCUAAACUGUAUGCUGAUACAUGUAUACUUUUAAUUUGAGAAGGAUAUAUGUAAUAUAUGUACAAUAUAUGAACUGUAUAUGAACAUUAUAUGAACAGUACUUUUGAUUUUCAGAAGGAUAUAUGUAAUAUAUGUGCAAUAUAUACUUUUGAUUUCAGAAGGAUGUAUGUAAUAUAUGUAUGAACUGUAUAUGAAAAUUAUAUGAACAGUAUGUAAAAUUCUGACCUGUUUCGUCAAGAAUAAAUUUUAGCUUAUAACCCAUUUAAAUCGUUCUUAUUUCUUUGCGAUGUAUAAAUAUAUACUUUUGAUUUCAGAAGGAUAUAUGUAAUAUAUGUAUGAACUGUAUAUGAAAAUUAUAUGAACAGUAUGUAAAAUUCUGACCUGUU
rnacentral:lncRNA from 1 species